UACGUAGGGUGCAGGCGUUAAUCGGAAUUACUGGGCGUAAAGCGUGUGCAGGCGGUCUGCUAAGAGAGAUGUGAAAUCCCCGGGCUUAACCUGGGAACUGCGUUUCUAACUGGCAGGCUUGAGUGUGGCAGAGGGGAGUGGAAUUCCACGUGUAGCAGCGAAAUGCGUAGAGAUGUGGAGGAACACCGAUGGCAAAGGCAGCCCCCUGGGCUAACACUGACGCUCAUGCACGAAAGCGUGGGGAGCGAACAGG
rnacentral:rRNA from 1 species